UAAGGAAUAUUGGUCAAUGGACGCAAGUCUGAACCAGCCAUGCCGCGUGAAGGAUGAAGGCCCUCUGGGUCGUAAACUUCUUUUAUCUGGGACGAAAUCACCUUUUUCUAAGGGUGUUGACGGUACCAGAGGAAUAAGCACCGGCUAACUCCGUGCCAGCAGCCGCGGUAAUACGGAGGGUGCAAGCGUUAUCCGGAUUCACUGGGUUUAAAGGGUGCGUAGGCGGACUUGUAAGUCCGUGGUGAAAUCUCCAGGCUUAACCUGGAAACUGCCAUGGAUACUAUAAGUCUUGAAUGUUGUGGAGGUUAGCGGAAUAUGUCAUGUAGCGGUGAAAUGCAUAGAUAUGACAUAGAACACCAAUUGCGAAGGCAGCUGGCUACACAAAUAUUGACGCUGAGGC
rnacentral:rRNA from 1 species